rnacentral:misc_RNA from 1 species
AACGCAUAUUGCGCCCUUUGGUAUUCCGAAGGGCAUGCCUGUUCGAGCGUCAUUAUCACCGUGUCAAGCUUGGCUUGUUGUUGGGCCCUUUGUCACCUGGUGACAGGUCCAAAAGAUAAUGACCGGUGUCGUACCGACUCUAUAUGCAACGAGCUGAUUACAGCACGCAUCUGGCAGUCGUACGGCCCGGUCUUCAGCCCUUUAUUUCUCAAGGUUGACCUCGGAUCAGGUAGGAAUACCCGCUGAACUUAA